GGGAACAAUGAGGUGUUUCAAGUUCCUCAUUGUUCCCUAUGGCUGAAGCAGGCAGUGUACAAGUUUUGCAACCCUACCUUGAAAAACACCAUAGAACAGAAGCACACAGUCUCUCCAGACACGGAACACAGUAUUUUUCUAAAAACAGUCCAAAUAUGGCCAAAAAAGCCAGCUACAGUGCUUGUGCUACAGUAAAAUCAUUUGCACAAGUUGCUGUCACAUACAAUUAUGACUCCUUACUUCUGCAUUGCAACAGCUUCCACAGCACAGCAGCACUCUUAGCAGCAGCAAGCAGAGCCAUAAACUCAACUACAGUAAUGUCUUCAGCCACAUUUUGACUGAGCACACCUUUCAAUGCACAUUGCAGAGCAAUGAGUGAAGCACAAGUUAGUCUCAAGGCUGGACAUGGAGCUCAAUCACAGCAAUCACCAAGAAAUAUUACUACACACAGACAGAGAGCUGAGCGGUCAUUGUCCACUUCUCGCUACAAUACCAUCUCACAGGCCAAACCACAACUCAAGGAUGGCAGGCAGGCACCCAAGAUCUGCCUUUGUCAAUCUGAGAUCAAACAAAAUCAGAUAGUUAACAGCACAGCAAGCACAUUACACUUACUCAGUACUGAGAAAACUGCAAAAUCAAACCUACCUUCCUUCCAUCCUACUGCCAGAGAGAGACAGGAGAACAGAGCAGUCAUGGCCUGAUAGACCAAUGGUCUGACAAGAAACAAAACUUGUACUCUUACCACGGGAAGAUGUCUUCUUUCUUCUUCUUCAAUGUACAUCCCUGCCUGUGUUUGGAUAAUACCAUGGCCUCAGGUUGGUGCUGGGCCCCAGCUGACAGAUGGACAAAUGAAACAGGGCACUUAGUCCAUCAUCUCAUCAGAUAUGGCAUUGGGGUGUGUGUGUGUGUGUGUGUGUGUGUGUAGUACUAAUGGACAGACUGUACUGUCCAAGGUGGGGUGAGUUGCCAGUCUUGUUGCAGUGGGUGGGGAUGACCAUGAGUAACUCAACCUGCAUGGCCAGCUCAGGAUAGCCCAACAAAAGGGAGGUUGGCCUUCAAGACCAGCUGUUCCACCAUGUCAAGACCCAUGCAUGUGCAGUAGGUUGUCACCAUGCCCCCAGCCAUAGAGAACACCCUUGCUCUGGAUGCUGGUUAAAGCGCACAGCAGGAGCCUUCCAGGAACCACGUCCAAGACUAGCCAGACUGGGCGACGCAUUAGCCAAAUCUGGAUUUGCACUGCUGAAAGGCUCAGUGGGCUCCUCCCAUACCCCUGGCAAGAUGCCAAGAAAUCCCUCCAUGAACCACAGGGUAGAAUGUGGAGGUGGAACCAUCAGCUCAUUUUGCCCUGCUAGGGAUACCACAGCCAUCUAAUGGCGCCGUGGGAAAUGACUUAACUAGCAAGCCAGAGGUUGCCAGUUUGACUCCCUGCUGGUAUGUUUCUCAGACUAUGGGAAACACCUAUAUCGGGCAGGAGUGAUAUAGGAAGAUGCUAAAAGGCAUCAUCUCAUACUGUGUGGGAGAAGGCAAUGGUAAACCCCUCCUGUAUUCUACCAAAUACAACCACAGGGCUCUGUGGUCGCCAGGAGUCGACACUGACAGCACACUUUACUUUAGAGAUACCAUACUGCUGGGACAGGAAGUGGCGGUGUUGCUGCCACUAGGGAUAGACUGCAUUCUAGUAGUAGGUGCUCCAGUACCCUCAUCCUGGUUGCACCCCAGCCUCCCUUCCUCUCCUCACCUAACCUCUACAACCAGGAGGCUCCUCCACUUGGUUAGGUUGACCAAUUUGCCAUUCAUCCUUGGGUCACUUAGGCAGGACAAAAUGUUCUCUGCCAAUACACCCAAGGGUAUGCUCAGUCAAUCCACAACUCUGCCAAGGCGAUUGCUUCCUUAGUGAUCAGCAUGGUCUGGAUUCUCACCCGUGGUUUUCACAAGGAAAUGUGUGGCAGGCAAAAUCUGGCUCAGCUUGUCUGGGCACACAAGCCAUCUGUGGCAACAAAGAAUGGCUCAAGUGCCAAGACUAUCUCAGAAAGGAGUGCCCAAUCCUGGUUGGAUAAGUCAUACACUUCCAAGUCAUGCUUCCUUGCCAAGGCGUGGGCGGCUGGCUCUUGCUCCUGCAUGGUCACAGACGGCUCAACUGGGGGUGGGGUGGGGGGCAGCACACUGCCAAUAGGGAUUGGAGAAGAUGGUGAGAGCGAUCUGUCUGGGCUAGCAACCGAUGACACCUCCUCCUCUGCUGCCACAUGAAGAGCUUCUUCCCUGAAAGGGGAGGACAUGCCUCCCACAUUCUACCUCAGCUGCCACAAGCAGCAGCACUGCAAGAUCACACUCCUUGGGAAGGGAGAGCCUGCACACAUCACCAGUGGGGUCGACUCAGGAAGUAGGCUCAUCAUCACCCCUUCCUCUGCCUGCCACCCAACCUUGACUCAGUUUUGCACCCUGCUGGAUAUCUAGGCCCCCCCCCUUUUUAAAUAGCCCUAACUUUGGGGCGGGGGAGAAGAAGUGCCAUUAGGGGCCAUGUAGACCCAGGGGUGGUCUAUUUAUGCUCUUUGUGCCACACACAGCACUAUGUAUAGCACUGUGAUACAUACAGAGAAGCUAGAAAAAUUAACCCACCCACCCCAAUAAAGAAGCAGCCUCUAUUGGGAGGGGCUAUUUUGAGGGCAAAAGCAACAAUAGGGCAAAUCUAAGCAAUGGAAAAGGAAAGGGCAAGGGAACCCAAACCCACCUACAAGUACCUCAUCCCACCCUCCCCAAACUAGGCUCUAUUUAAAGAACUCUAAGUUAUAUAACCUGAUCAAGGCGGCGGGUGGGGUGGAUCACUUUCCAGCAUCUUUGGCUUGAGUCUGCCAGGUGUUGCUCUCAGAGGCACUCUUGGGUCAAGCAGACACCAGGACUCAACAGCUGGGGAAAGGGCAGAUGGGCUCCAGUCAGGCACCACCCACCCAAUCAACUAAAAAACCCGGGUGGUGGGGGAGAAGAUGGAAUAGACCUUAGCAGGCUGGGCACCAGACAGAAUGUACCAGCCUACAAAAACCAAAUAUGAACAUACCAGGCACACACAGCAGCAGCAAAGAUGCAGAUUGGGGCUGCAAAAGAAUGUGUGUGUGGGAGGGAAUCACAACAUCUCAGUUAUUAAAGCCACAUGGGGCUACAAGCAAUAACUGGGGGUUACUGGUACAAUUUAAAAUAAAAAAUAAAAUAAAAGCAGUUGUUGGCACUGCAAAUUAAAGAGAUUUUUUUAAAAAGGGAUAAGCCAGCAGGCAUCAGUGUUCCCUUUAAAGCAUGUGCACGCUCACAUGGGUUUUGAUGUCCACUCAGUUGAUUUUAGAUCCCGCUCAGGUUUAAUUAGGAAGGUCCUUCUCUGAAUGCAUGUGCCUUCUGCCGCCCAGAACAAAACUCAUUCUGCAUACAGAUGAAAAAAAUUAGAGAGAGCACUGGUAGGCACUCUCUGUACUCACUGAGCCAGGCAGGCCCAGACCACUACCACUAGUACCUGUAAACCAGUCAGCAAGGGAAAAAUUGCUCUCCAAAAUGGCCACUUGGCACUCAAAUCAAUUCAAACUGUAAUCAGGCCCUUUGUUUUAGGGGCAAUUUGAUUAGCAUUCAAACCACCCAAUAGGAACAUAGGAAGUUGCAAUAUACCGAGUCAGACCAUUGGUCUAUCUAGCUCAGUAUUGUCUUCACAGACUGGCAGCGGCUUCUCCAAGGUUGCAGACAGGAAUCUCUCUCAAUCCUAUCUUGGAGAUGCUAGGGAGGGAACCUGGAACCUUCUGCUCUUCCCAGAACGGCUCCAUCCCCUAAGGGGGAUAUCUUACAGUGCUCACACUUCUAAUCUCCCAAUCAUAUGUAACCAGGGUGGACCCUGCUUAGCUAAGGGUCUGACCAGCUCUCCUCUCCCCAAUUCAAGCUCAAAUCGAUUUGCACAUCUCUACACUGUUCUAAAGAUUGGUACUUUUUUCUCCGAAGUGUCAAUUUUCAGUGUCAAUUACUGUAGCUGCAACAAUUUUUACCAGAUCUCCUUGAAAUUAGCCACAUUUGUAGACCUCAUCAAGUAGACCACACCAGCCAAGUUUCAAGUUAUCAGCUCAAUACUUGUCAUAUUUAUAAGCAAAAGCAUUUGAGGCUUAUAAUGGCAGAACUUUUUUUUUUUUUUUUUUGCUACUUGCCUUUACUGAAGGGCAUUCCAGAGUCCCUUUCCCUAAUAUUUUAUAGACUGUUUUCCAGCAAAGUUCAUAGUGUGGUUUACACAGCAAAAGAAAGGGUAUGGUUCCAAAGAGACUUGUUACCUAAAAAGAAAUGCGACACACUAGCAACAGCCACUGAAAGGGAAGUUAUGCUACUCCCUGUGCAGAAAAAAAUGACAGUCAGAACUUUAAAAAGGUGCCUAUUUGUCCAGUUAGAAACUAGAGAAGCUAGCUGUCUAACCUACUACAAGGGAAGCUUAUGACCCUCUUAUGAAUGUGUGAACUACUUUCCUUUGUAAAGCAAGAACCAUGGUUGCCAUGGUCGUCAUACAGCGUAACAGCUGAUGUAUUCAUAUUAUGACUUGAUAAUGGGGCCAGGCAGAAGUCAACAAGCCAGCGCAGGGAUUAUCCACUAUCCAUCUGCGUGACUAUUUAAUAUUUUAUGCCUAGUAACUACUUGAUCAUACAGCCACCUAAUGGCUCAGCGGGGGAAUGACUUGACUAGCAAGCCAGAGGUCGCCAGUUCGAAUCCCUGCUGGCAUGUUUCCCAGACUAUGGGAAACAUCUCUAUCGGGCAGUAGCGAUACAGGAAGAUGCUGAAAAGCAUCAUCGCAUACUGUGCAGUAGGAGGCAAUAGUAAACCCCUCCUGUAAUCUACCAAAGACAACCACAGGGCUCUGUGGUUGCCAGGAGUCAAUACUGAUUCAACGGCACAUUUUACCUCUACAACUACUUGAUCUCUGCAACUGGCUCAGUCAGUACUGCAAUUAUAAAUACUGAGGAUUGUCAGAGUUAAAGAACAGGGACAUGUGUGUAUUAACAUGACAAAGAAGAUCUAUGUGGACCAUGCCACUACAAAGUUACAGGGCAUGGUUUGAUGACACAUAAUAUAGCUACUUUGCUGAAGCUAAGCAGGUCUGGUCAACACACAGAUAGGUGACCAUUUCAUUUAAAAAAAUAAUUAUAUGAGCAGAUAUAAACCACACAUUUAACGCUCUACCUGGCCCUCAAAGUAUCUUGGGAAAAUGACUUUCAACAGGAAAGCAAAGACCAGAAGUGGUUGAACAUAUGGAAAUGCAAGCCAGUUACUUCCUUCAAGGCCCAAAUUAAGAAGAACUUUUUCAUCUUUUUCAUUUUACCUGACAUCAGUAAAAUUAGCACACAUUCAUAAAAACUGUUCACCAUUUUGCUGGAGUGGUUGUGGGAUGAAGUGAACCUAUUUUCAUCUUUGGUGGACCUGCCCCGGGGUCUUGCACUUUUGGUCAGAAGUAUUCAUGGAGAUGAGCAAGAUCACAAAUGAGAAAAUAAUAAAUCUUCUUAAUUUUAUCUCAUCUGUGCAUCUUGGGUCUCAGAGGUGGUAGAAACUUAACCAGAACCAGAUAAAGGUUCUGCAAUCUCUGAAUGCUUCAUUCCUAAUUGGGAGGAGGAAAGUUCUGUUAGGUUUUUUUUAAAUCUUACAGUAGUCAACAACAUCUGGGAAUCCCUGUUCGGGGGAACACUGAUUUGUAAGUGCCACGGAAAGAACAGAGAAGUGAUACCUCUUUCAAAGGCAACAUAUCAUGUCUGUGUCCACUGCAGCAAGCUUAGUUCUCCUAAUCUUACAUCAGUGAACACAGACACACCACUGGAAAUAUAUUACUGAGAUCUGGCAUGGAAGUCAAGUGAUGCUUUGUCCCUUGCUUCAUAGAAUCAGUAGCACAUCUCCAUUGCAAUGUAUAGGCCCUUCCUGCUUACUCGACUUGAAUCCCUUUAUGCACAUUGCACAUCACUACUGUCCUCUUAGUGUGUAAUUGCCAGAUAGGAUAUCACAUGCACAUACUUUGGUUUAAAAUGAGUUAAAUUGCUUACAAUUUUCAGUCAUGCUCUAAAAAGCAUGGAAAUUGCAAGCUGAGAUGGCCACCUUAGCUUCCAUGCCAUGUAAUCAGUAAAGAUUUUGUACUCUCUUGUAUAUUGUACAACCUUUUCAAAUUGGGCUCCAUGCAUCCACACUGUCUCGAUCUUUCAGUGCAACCGUUUGCUGAGGGACAGAUGCAUCCAGGUAAACCUUUAAUGGAUGCAAUAUUCCCAAUCACUACAAAUGCACCUGUUAAAAGAGGACUGCUUUAUUCUAUCCUCCCCUUGUGUUUUUUUCCUUUCUCUUUUUAAAAAAAACCAAGGAUUUUUCCAUUAUUCUUUGUUCCAUAUUUUUUUUAGUAAGAUCAUUUUAUUAUCCUCCCCUUAUUAACAGUAGGACUUGCUCUGGAGUAAGCAUACAAAAUUAUUACUGUAAGGCAGCUACUGGAGACAUAAAAAGCAGCUCAGAAAGAUGGUAAACUCCACCCUGAUCAAGAGCCAACUUGGACCCACAAGUUAACUUGCUAUGGUGGCUUAACUGGUCCACACAGCUAAAGAGAAAGGCAGGCAGAAGCCAACUUGAGCAAUAAGUGUGGCUCCCUGCAGAAGUAAUUUGAACAAUUAACAUAUUUGUUUUAAGAGAGACUUUAAAAAACAACUGCAGAAAUACUCAGACAGAAGUCAUGCGGGUGGAAGGAGGAAAUACUCAAAUGUAGAAUGUUGAUGUCCAGCAGCAAGGUAGAUAGACUCAAUUACAACAGCAAUGAAUGCACCACUGAGAGAGCUUAAAGGCCAAGUUGAAGGCAGAUCAUCCUGGAGAGAAUCUAUGUGGUAGCUAAGAGUAGACACCGACCUGAUGGCACCUAAAUCAAUCAAUCAAGUGGUUAGCUGGCUACUGUACUAGAAAAAGAUGGAGGUGGGUGACGUUAUGGCAUGGGAACAAGAGGAAAAUAAUCCCCCCCCUCAAAUUGGAGUAUGAAGGAAACAGACAAGCUUGUAUGAAGAUAAGCAUACGAGAAGAAGCAUAUGCACCCAGAGAAUGGUCCUAAGACACAAGCUGCUGUCAUAAAGCAGAUCUCUGCUUGGAAGCCAGGGUGAACAAAAUAGUUCUAAAAUAACCUAGUUUAAAAUGAAAUCUGGUCUGGACUUAUUGCAAACAAAUAAUAAUCUUAAAUCUGCUUAUGACCCUCUCACAAACUUAUGGAAUACUUAAGUUGAUAAGCUGCUUUUCUUGGUAAAGCGAGGAACCGCUAACUGCAGGAAGAGGUGAUGAUGGAUGGCGAUUCCCUAAUAAAAGGUGCAGAGGUGGUGUGAAAUGUGCUGUCUCCCUGGUGCUCAGAUCCAGGAUGCUACAGACAAGUUGCCGAGUCUUAAGUCCACUGAUCAUUAUCCUGUCCUUGCUUAACCAUGAGGAAAUGAACACCACUGCUCAACACAGCAAUGAAGAUAUAUCUUUUUACAAGGCUAUGGGAAUGAAGGUGAAGGAACCUGGAGCUCUGGUGGUCUUGUCAACUCUCCCCUUUAAAAAAAGGAUACAAACAGAUCAUAAUCCUUCCUGAAGACCUUCAUCCUGUCCAAGUAGAAGGUCAAUGUUCUCCUCACAUCCAAUGUAUGUAGUUUCAGCUCUAAAUCCAUUUGUGGGUUGCAGAAGAAGGAGGUAAGUAUGUUAUCUUGGUUAAUCUGGGAGUUUGUAUUUAUUUUUGGUAUGAAGUUUAAGUCUUUACGUAGAACAACUUUCUCCUUAUGGAAUCAGAUGUAAGGUACAUCUGCCUUUAGCGCAUACAACGCGGUAACUCUUCUCACAGUUGGCAUUGCAAUCAGAAAUGUUUUUAUCGACAGAAACUUAAAAUAACACUUUUGCUGUUGGUUCAAAGGGACAGUUCAUCAGGCCUGUUAGAACUACUGAUAGACUACAUUGGCUCACUGGUUUCCACACUGAAGGGUAUAAAUUUUCUAACCCUUUUAGGAACUUGUUGCAAAGCAGAUGUCAGAACACAGUCCAUCAAUCUAUGCCAGUGUGGCAGCUGGAAAUUGCUGCUUUAUGUACUUUAAUUGAGGAAUUGGAAAAACCAGUCAACUUUAAGUUGAACAGGUAAGUCAAUAUCAGAGUUAUUGUAGCAGAUGCUGGUGGGAAGGAUUUAUCAUCGGCAUAGGUUUCAAUUUUUUCCAUUUUGUCACAUACAUUUUUCUAAUUGAUGGUUUAUUCUCAUUAAAUAGAAUUCUUUCUAGUAGUUUGGCACUUGCUGGAUCUCCCCAUGAUUCUUCCUGCUGUCAGUUUCAACACAUUUACGUCUGGGUGUAGACUCUUGCCUUCAUCCAUAGAUAGAAGAUCAUAUUGUAGAGGCAAUGUUUUCACUCUUCCUUUGGAUAAGCUCAGGAGAGUUGUUUACCAUCCCUGUCUUUGCCAUUUUGGUGUAAUCAGGAUGGAACCUGUCUUGUGGUACAUUAUCUUUUUCACCACCUGUGUGAUAAAGGGGAAUUGGUGGAUACAUGCAACAGAAUGCCCUGUCCCAUGUGAGCAUAAAUGAAUCCCACAGAGAUUCUCUCCUUAUGCCUGAGAGUUUGCAGUACUGUCACAUUUCCUAUUCUCUGGAGACACAAAUAAAUCUAUCUCUGGAGUCCCCAAUGUGUUGAGUAUCUCUUGUAAAUAUUUAGGGUGGAUACUCUACUCAUGGAUGUUCAACUUGGUCACAUCUCCACUCAAGAUGUCUACUUCUAUGUUCUGUACCCCUUGAUAUGUAUCACAAUUGGGUGAAUUUUAUAGUCUGUUCGCCAGUUCCAAAACUGCAUUGCUAGACUGCAUAACAGGUGGGGCACUGUUCUCCACCCCCAGUUGUUCAUGCAUGCUAUUGCAGUAGUGUUGUCCAUUACUACUUGGAACUUCCCCCCUACAAUAGAGGCCUGAAGGCUUUAAGUGCAAGGAAGAAGCUAAAGGUUCUAAUAUGUGUAUAUGUAGUUUGUUGAUUUCUGUUGAUUUUCUGUCCACUUUCCACUCACUUGAUGCGCUUGGCAAUGUGCUCCCCAUCCUGUUUUCAAAACAUUUGAGGUCACUAUCACCUCUGGAAACACGGGCUGAAAAUUGCAUACCUGUGGUCAAAAUCUCAUCAUUUCUCCACCAUAGGAGGGACUUCGUGGGUUGCAUUUUGGAUUUCUUGUGGCUGAUCUUUAUGCCUAAAUCAAGUGAUAAGGACAUCAUUUCCUCUAAAUCUCAUUGUAAUUGGUCCAGAGGAUGAGCCAUCAAUAACCAAAUUAUCUAGAUACAGAAAAGUUGCAUCCCACUUCCUUUCAAGUAUGCAACUGUGACUGCCAUACACUUGGUAAACACCCUUGGGUGUUGGAAAUUUUGAGGGGUGGUAUUGAUACACCUGGUUUCCCACAGGGAACUGUAGGUACUUGUGAUGUGGUCAAAUUAUAUGGAAAUACACAUCCUUCAAGUCUGUGGCCACAAGCCAUCUGUUUUCCCUGCUAACUCAGCAAAAAGGCACCUUUUAAAGUGAUGAUUCACUUAUAUUUAGCAGGGAGAGAGCAACUGGCCCUAUCCAACCCCAGCAUAACAUCCCUCUAGUGGCUGUUGCUGGUAUCUGCCCCCCCUUUUUUUUUAAGAUUGUGAGCCCUUUGGGGACAGGCAACCAUCUUAUGUAUUAUUUAUUUUCCUAUGCAAACUGCUUUGAGAAAUUUGUUUAAGAGGUGUAUAUAAGAAGAAGUGGAAGUAGUGGAAGUAUGGCCAGUAUUGAGAUCAUUCUGAAUUUUGUAGUUUGUAUCAAUUUGUUCAGUGUUUAUGAAUACAAGAUUGGGCAAACACCCCCACCCUUCUGUAGUAUCUGAAAGUACCUUGAAUAGAAUCCCCCUAUCCAUUGAUUUGGGGAAACUUGCUCUAUGGCAUCUUUCUGUAAAAGUGUUAUUUCCUCUAAUAAGGUUGGAGUUGGUUGGGUAUAUCUGAUACCCUGAAAAACUGGUUUUAUGUGAAACUCUAUGCGCAUGACCAUUCUAAACAAUGCAAAGUACCCAUUUGUCUGUUAUCCGUUCUCAUACCGAGCAGUGGUCUGCUAUGAAUGGGACUUCUGUCAGAAGGGUCUGAAGGUGCUGCUCAUUUCCUACUGGACCUGGACAAAGAGGCAUAAUCAAUAACCAAAUAAUUUGGAGACUGGUGUUUAAAGAGAUAUGCACAGUUUUCCUCCUGAACUUUAAACAUAUUCUCCAAUCUUCUGGAGGUAGGGGCAGUACUAGAUGGUUUCUGCUACACUUGUUUGGAGGCCUGCAGUAAUACAAAAGUAUUGGUUGUCAAGUCUUUGCAGUUUGCAAGGAUUUAAACACUGGGUACUGGACCUCUUCUUCCACCUGCUUUAGUUCUAAACUCAGUACUUGCCAUAUCUAUUAUCAGAGUAUGGUAAUUUUCAUUUUCUUCCUUUGGAGAAUCCAAAAACUUUUUCAGAACUUUAUCAUUGGGUGAUGGUUCAGAUGGCGACUCAGUGCAUUCAAAUUUACCUUCAGAAUGUCAAGGAUUCCCCUUCCUCAGAAUUUCCUUGUUCACUUUUCUCCUCCUCUGCUAUCUUCUCUGGCUGGUCUUCAUGUGGAGAACUAGAGGAAGUGGAAACUGUUGUUUUCAUUUGGGUAGUAGUUGCUGUCACUAGUUUGGUCAUUGCCGAAGCAGUAGCAACCUUUACAUCUGAUUUUGUGCCUGUUGUAAUAUGUGAUGCACAGGCUGUAGCUGAGGAUGAAGUUAUAGUGUGGAUCACAAUAUGUGGCUGAGGAGGUCUGACAUCUAGUGGACACCAACAUGCCCUCAUCUUUUUGGUACAUCUUCUGUAUAGUUUAAUAAAAUACAUCUGUGGUUCAUAUUUCCUAUUUGGAAUGUAGUAGUCCAAUUAAUUCAAAUGGGGAAUAUGGAGUGUAUAUUCUUCUGUAAGUGAUUGUGUGUUGAUCUUUAGGGGGGGAUAAUCAUAUUACCUUCUGCCAUGCACACACCAUGCUAAUGGAGCUGGUCUCACAGGGCUGCAUUGGUAUGGAUGCACUCUGAAUGUCUGUUCUUGUUUUGAGUUAUACAUCCCGCCCCUCUACUGGUGAUCUAUAUGGAGCAGGUGGCAUUAAAGGGAUGCUCUUGAAUUUCUAUCACCCCCUUAUCAUAUCCCAUGUCACCUCCCAGUGAAUAUGUUGGAGAAUGGGGAUAUUCUCUGGUGUGUACUGUGACCUUUGGCACUGCUGGCGUUCU